rnacentral:sRNA from 2 species
UAUUCUUCCUAUGCGGGAAGGAUGAGAAGCUUCGACUAAGGUUCGAUUCGAGCGUUAGCGAGAAAGCGUUGCCGCAGGCAACGACCCGAAGGGCGAAGCGCGCAGCGCUGAGUAAUCCUUCCCCCACCACCA